AAAUUGAAGAGUUUGAUCAUGGCUCAGAUUGAACGCUGGCGGCAGGCCUAACACAUGCAAGUCGAACGGUAGCACAGAGAGCUUGCUCUCGGGUGACGAGUGGCGGACGGGUGAGUAAUGUCUGGGAAACUGCCUGAUGGAGGGGGAUAACUACUGGAAACGGUGGCUAAUACCGCAUAAUGUCGCAAGACCAAAGAGGGGGACCUUCGGGCCUCUUGCCAUCAGAUGUGCCCAGAUGGGAUUAGCUAGUUGGUGAGGUAACGGCUCACCAAGGCGACGAUCCCUAGCUGGUCUGAGAGGAU
rnacentral:rRNA from 3 species